rnacentral:sRNA from 1 species
UGACGAGUAAUUGCGGCUCGCAUCGAC